rnacentral:tRNA from 1 species
GUCUUCGUGGCUCAGUUGGUCAGAGCGUUGGUCUCAUAGUAUGUAAUAUGACUCAAUCGUUAGAUUGGGAUAUCCAAAGGUCGUGAGUUCGAGCCUCACCGAGGACA